rnacentral:rRNA from 1 species
GAAUAUUAGUCAAUGAUUGAAAGAUUGAUCUAGUUACUUAGAAAGAUGAAGAUUAUAAAACCAAUAAAAUAAAAAAAUAAUAAUGAAGAAUAUAAAAUCAAUGUAUAUAUAAAUGAAUAAUGAUGAUUAUAUAUAUAGAAGUCUUAACCAAAAUUAGUGCCAGCAGUUGCGGCUAAACUAAGGAGGCAAACGUUAAUCAUUAAUGGCUUAAAGGAUCCGUAGAAUGAUAUGUAAAUAUACAUAUUAGAGUUAAAUUGAAUAAUUAUGAAAAAUUAUAUUGAGAGAUGAAAUGUGUGGAAAAUAAUUAGACAAAUAAACGUGAAGAUAAAAUUAAAAAUUUAACUGACAUUGAGGGAUGAAGGCAUGAUUAGCAAAACGGAUUAGAUACCCGAGUAGUUCAUGCAGUAAACGAUGAAUACCCCCCACGCAAAUGCGUGGGCAAGUGAAAACUUAAGUAUUCCGCCAGGAGAGUAUAGCUUCAAAGUUGAAAUCCAAGACAAUAGACGGUUACAGUUGUAGGCAGUGGAUUGUGUUAUUUAAU